rnacentral:rRNA from 1 species
UUAACACAUGCAAGUCGAACGAGAAGCUAUCUUCGGAUAGUAGAAAGUGGCAAACGGGUGAGUAACACGUGGGAAUGUGCCUUUUGGAUCGGGACAACAGUUGGAAACGACUGCUAAUACCGGAUAAGCUCUACGGAGGAAAGAUUUAUCGCCAAAAGAUCAGCCCGCGCUAGAUUAGCUAGUUGGUAAGGUAAUGGCUUACCAAGGCUACGAUCUAUAGCUGGUUUGAGAGGAUGACCAGCCACACUGGGACUUAGAUACGGCCCAGACUCC